rnacentral:rRNA from 1 species
CAAUAGCGUAUAUUAAAGUUGUUGCAGUUAAAAAGCUCGUAGUUGGAUUUCUGUGAGAGUGCCGGUGUCGGCUGAUGCUUGUACGCAGGCGCUCUUACAUCCUUCUGUUAACUGUUCUUGGCAUUUUAUUGCUGGUUCAGGGCUCAGAUAUUUUACCUUGAGAAAAUUAGAGUGUUUCAGGCAGGCUUAUGCCGGAAUACAUUAGCAUGGAAUAAUGGAACAGGACCUGUGCGUCUCUCGGGGCGCCGGUCUCCGUUGUUGGUUUCGGGGACUAAUGUAAUGAUUAAUAGGGAUAGUUGGGGGCAUUAGUAUUUAAUAGUCAGAGGUGAAAUUCUCGGAUUUGUUAAAGACUAACUUAUGCGAAAGCAUUUGCCAAGGAUGUUUUCAUUA